CAGGAAUUCGUGCAACAUUGACCGCCUUCCCGGAGCCGGUUCCCCUUGCCAGUUCCGAGGCUGAGGUCUACAGCUCGAAAAGAGGUGGGUCCUCUGGGCCACGGAUUGCAUCGCGAGCCGUUGAGUCCUGGGGCUUAACGAGGCACAGAUAAGCAGCGUGCUUAUCAGGAGCCCGCCGCCGGGGUACCUGCUCCAGCCCCAUCGUGAGCGAACAUGUUUUUACCACCCAGCUGCAGGGAGCCGGGAGCGCGCGCGCGGCCGGGCAGCGCGGCUCAGCCGGUGCGUGGUAACUCGUGAAGCCGCAGCGACUUUAUCACUUCGCAACAUCCAUACAUAGCCACAGCCUCGAGUCUUCUCAGGGGAAGAAAGGAUGAUGAGUUACUGUCCUGGGAUUUUCGCUCUGUCUCCAGUCAGUGGGAAGUGGUAUGCGGAGCAUUCAUUUAAUAAACCAGAGGGGAAAAGCUGUAGAUCAGCUUCUCAUUAUUUCAGUGCUGGCUCACGCCAUCGCUUGGGCUUGUGCCUGACAGUUCAGUGUGUUAUUUGAGGCCACUCGAGCAUUCUGCAGAAAUGAUGCCACCCUCUUCUGAAAGCGUGGGGUUCGUCCAAGCAGGGAGGGCCUGCCUCCCUUAGUAGUUUUAUCAGUGCCAAUUCCAUCUCAGUUUUAGGUCUCGGUGUGCAAGGAGGUGCCCACUUUGGAGAUCGGUUCCUGCUGAGAGACACUGCUCCAGCAGGAAACCUUCUGGAGAUGGUUCUUCUGGUCUAGUCCUCUGGAGUAAAGCAACUCUAGGUCCUUCCACCAGCUUUCUGCAAAGAGCUGGGUGGCCCCUGCGAGCAGAGGGCUGAGGAGAGCUCUGGGGAGGAGCAGUGAACAUGCUGGGCUGUUUCUGGGGUGAGUUGUGAUGAGGUUCCUACAGCUGGGUCAUGGUUGUCACUGCGUUUGUCCAGUACAGAUUUCCUUGAAUAACUUGUUUAGGUGUAAACGCCUUUGGCAUGAUGUCUUUUCCCUGCUUUUCCAAGAACGACGGAGAGUUAGAAACUCUCCUGCUUCUAGGAUUGUUCCAGAGCGUGCUUUUGGGCUGCGAGCCCUACCUGAAGCUGGGGUGGGGAUGCAGCACCCUGUGCCAACCUGCUGUCCUGCUGGAGCAGAGCUUGUGAGCAAAUCCUGGGGGCACACCAGAAGAUGCCAUGGGAUGCCCUUCUCCCCAGUCAAGCAGAUCAAGCAUUCAGCACUUGCACCAUGGUCCUGGUUCGUGUGACCCACAACGACUGCCCUUUCACAGACCUGGGUUCGGAAUGAGAGGAGGAGAGAGAACACGUAACAGGCAAGAGCAGAUGAAACGGAGAUGAAGGAACAAGGGGGAGGAGGAAUGCAGAGAGACACAGACAGGCACUGCCAAAAUGCUGAGCACCCAGAGCCAGACACACAUGGACGUGACCACGCCAUGGGCAGAGCACGGGCAAGGCUCACGCUCGGCAGGAUUUCCUCUCCGUGCUAUCUCCUCACUGUGUCUUGCGAGUCUGCAAGGAAAUGUGUCGCCAAUAAUCAGCUGUCUCCAAACAGUUCAGCAUUGCUGGGGCGUUUGUGCUGGCUGCGGGUGGAAGGACUGAUCUUGGAAGGAAACUCCAUGUGAAAUCCCCAGCCUGCUCUGCAGACGCACGUGCUGGGCUAUUUCUGGACCAGCUUUCAGCUGCCACAGCAGGGGAGCUGGAAGAAGUGGGGAGAGCCCAGAAAUCCUGCCUGAGCUGUCUCAGAAGGACUGGACUAGCCUGAAGGCCACCAAAGGCACAGCCCAGCAGCACAAUUUGGGACACAGGUAUCCCACACCCAGCAUCCAGCAGUGCUGGGGGGUAGAUCCAGUGUCACCAGGAAAGCCGUGACCUCAAGCCACACAGGCUCCUUCCUGUGCAGCUGCCCUGAAUCGGAGCACCUCUGCGUUUUGUUGACAGCUGACAAAUACUCCAGCCUUCCAGCUAGAAUACCAUUGCGGUGCUCCUGUGUGAGCCGGGCCGUGCUGGUCACACAGCAAGGAAGAUUUACCUGUGCCCAACCUAUCUGCAAGCGGGUCGGAACGUGUGUGUAUCCCAUUAACUCUGUCCUCGCUGCUCUCAAGAUGUUCCGCACAAAUGAUUUUAUUUUUUUUGUAAGAAAAUAUAUUUUACUAGGCAGUUUUAUGAGAGCUGACAAAAUGCCUCGUAAAUAACCCAGCAGGAAAUAUGGGGUAAAUAAAAUUUUUUACAACUUUAUCAUAAA